GGCAUGAAACCUGACACUUCACAAUAUCCUGGAAAGUUCUGCAACCUCCGGCAAGCUGUUGGAGAAACCUUCUCCAGUGUGAGAUUCAGGUUGAGCUGGUGUGGUGAAUCUGGGCUUGAUCUAGCUGGUACAAACAUCCACGGUUGCCCAUCUAGUGGAGGAUGGGGGAAGAGUUCCCAAUAUCCAGCAAGCAAGGAUGAGAAUUUGCUCAGAUACUGACCAGCUGAGACCAAAGGUUGAGGGAUUCUGUACCUGCCCUGGAUCAGAUGGACAAAUACGGAAGGAAGCAUUGUCUUCUCCACAGCUGCCAUAGUGCAUGUUCUUGGUGAUGUCAUAGAAUUGCUGCUUACCUGGCUUUUUAGACCUCCUAUCCCCAGCCCAUAUAUGUAUUGUCACGUUGUUACAAUUUGGGAAGGUGUGCCCGAAGUUCACAACCGAGACUGAUGUCUUGAAAAGUGCUUGAUCUUUCCCUGUGU